UCGAGAAUCUUCCACAAUGGACGAAAGUCUGAUGGAGCGACGCCGCGUGAUGGAUGAAGUGCUUCGGUAUGUAAACAUCUUUUAUGAGGGAAUAAGUUUUAUUGAAGGUACCUCAUGAAUAAGGACCUGCUAAACUCGUGCCAGCAGCAGCGGUAAUACGAGUGGUCCAAGCGUUAUCCGGAAUUAUUGGGCGUAAAGGGUCUGUAGGUUGCAUGGUUAGUCUCUCGUUAAAUCUCUCGGCUCAACCGAGAGCUCGCGGGGGAAACGGCCAAGCUAGAAUAUGCGAGGGGUGUGCGGAACUCAUAGUGUAGGGGUGAAAUCCGUUGAUAUUAUGGGGAACACCAAAAGCGAAGGCAGCACACUGGCGUAUUAUUGACACUGAAAGACGAAAGCGUGGGUAGCGAAUG
rnacentral:rRNA from 1 species